rnacentral:misc_RNA from 1 species
AACGCACCUUGCGCCCUUUGGCAUUCCGAAGGGCACGCCUGUUUGAGUGUCGUGAAAACAUCAAGCCCCCCCCCAUCUUCUUUUCGGUCGAAGGGGUGGGCCUUGGACUUGGAGGAUCUUUGUGGGGUCCCUUCAGCUCUUUGCUGGGGAACCGCUCCUCUGUAAUGCAGCAGCGAGGCUCCUACGGUGGGCCGCCCUCUGGUGUUGUAGUUUUAUGACCUACGCCGUGGGUUUUGCCCCGCCGUCUUUGGGUUCCCCCAUCCUCUUUAUUGGUUGGGACCGGGAGGCUUGGCUUCCAACCGUCGCAUCUGUGACAAACCGCCUUUGACAUUUUUGACCUCAAAUCAGGUGGGACUACCCGCUGAACUUAA